AUCAUUAAUGACAUCCUGAACAUGCCCAAUCUUGUCUGAUCUCAGAAGCUAAGCAGGGUCAGGCCUGGUUAGUAUUUGGGUGGGAGAUCACCUAGGAAGACUAGGUGCUGUGGGCA
rnacentral:rRNA from 1 species